rnacentral:lncRNA from 1 species
CUCCGUCCCCCGCCGGCCUACCACUAUCUAGACACCUCCUGCCCUCUCCAUAUGGCUCCGCGGGAUUGUUUCCCUCCCUAGCCCGACUUCUCCAAUAAACAGCAACUUCCUGCUUCUCCAGCAAGUCGCAUAAGAAGAACUGGAAUCUUGACACUACAACUCCUGACAGGACGCCCCUGCGGCAUCCAGAGACAGGGAAGCCAGUGCUGCUCUGCAUGUUCAGGGCGAGUAGCUGAGAGUCUCCUUCCGGCCUGGAUACUGAGGAAGGUGACUUAGACUUUCUCUCCGUCCUCUGAGUCGUAACGGACGGACACGCAAGGGCCGAGGACGGGUACAAGCAGCAGCGACUAGAACUGAUCUGGGUGAGAUCUAGGCCUCAGCAACAACUGACGCAAAAAGAUUUUGUUCUAGGAUUGGCUACAGCUGAAACUACCGCGCUUGAUUCAAAGCUCGGGGCUUGCAGCGGGAGGCAGCUGGCUCCUCCCUCUGAACCCGCCCCCUUUGGCUGGCCCAAUCCGCUGAUCCCAUCCUCUUAGGCCCUGCCCAGACUCCAAAUCUACCAGAAUUAAUGCUCCCAGCGCUGUUUGUCCACUCCUGCCUAUGAUUUGCUGUGUGACUACUACUCGUGGGGGUACCGUGAUUAGACGCUUUAAAGCUAUUAGCUAUCUUGUUUAAUAUUAACAAUGCUACUAGUGAGAUCAGUGUUAGUCUGUUUCUUAGAAAAAUAAACCAAGGGGCCGGACGCGGUGGCUCACGCCUGUAAUCCCAGCACUUUGGGAGGCCUAGGCUGGUGGAUCACGAGGUCAGGAGUUCAAGACCAGCCUGGCCAAGAUGGUGAGACCCCCCCGUCUCUACUAAAAAAUACAAAAAUUAGCCGGGCGUGGUGGCGGGCGCCUGUAAUCCCAGCUACUCGGGAGGCUGAGGUAGGAGAAUACUAGAACCCGGAAGGCAGAGGUUGCAGUGAGCCGAGAGCUCGCCACUGCACUCCAGCCUGGGCAACAGAGCGAAACUCCGUCUCAAAAAUAAAUAAAUAAAUAGGCCAAGGUUCCAACCUGGCCAACAUGGUGAAACCCCGUCUCUACUAAAAAUACGAAAAUUAGCCAGGUGUGGUGGCAGGCUCCUGUAAUCCCAGCUACUCGGGAGGCUAAGGCAGGAGAAUCACUUGAACCCGGGAGGCAAAGGUUGCAGUGAGCCGAGAUCUCGCCACUGCACUGCAGCCUGGGCAACAGAGCGAGACUCCGUCUCAAAAAAAAAAAAAAGGGGAAGCUGUGACUUGUUCAGAAAGUUGCAAGACAAAUCAGUUAUGGAAAGCAGUGUGCCUCAUUUCCUGCAAAUGGCUGAGUGAAAAAUAACUGGCAGGCUAAAAAGCUGCAAUUCCUCACACCUGGAGUAUCAUCCAUUCCUUUUCACCAUGGCCCAGUCUACGCUGAUCGGAGUAGGGGUUUUUAUUUCCCUUUAGGUUCCAGCAUAUUGGGAAAGAUUCCUGGAGAGGAUUCUUAUUCCAAUCUGUCAAGGCUCGAAGAGGUUGAAAUCUUUGGGGCUAGAGAGCUGGACGUGAAAAUGCCAAUUCCUAUGGCAAACAUACAUGGGCUCUUCCAUUAUUAGCUAGGUGACGUGAGCCAGGUCACGUAACCCGGAUUGUAAUCGAGUAGCUGGGAUUAAGGUUAAGUGUAAAAUGAAGACAUAUUAGUAGCCACCGCUUAAGGACAUUGUGAGAAUUACAGCUUUGGGUCAAAGCCCUAGGAAAGAAG